AGUGAACGCUGGCGGCAGGCCUAACACAUGCAAGUCGAACGGCAGCAUGGAAAGUACUUGUACUUUCUGAUGGCGAGUGGCGGACGGGUGAGGAAUGCAUCGGAAUCUGCCCAUUUGUGGGGGAUAACGUAGGGAAACUUACGCUAAUACCGCAUACGACCUUCGGGUGAAAGCAGGGGAUCUUCGGACCUUGCGCAGAUGGAUGAGCCGAUGCCGGAUUAGCUAGUUGGCGGGGUAAAGGCCCACCAAGGCGACGAUCCGUAGCUGGUCGGAGAGGAUGAUCAGCCACACUGGAACUGAGACACGGUCCAGACCCCUACGGGAGGCAGCAGUGGGGAAUAUUGGACAAUGGGCGCAAGCCUGAUCCAGCCAUGCCGCGUGUGUGAAGAAGGCCUUCGGGUUGUAAAGCACUUUUGUUGGGGAAGAAAAGCAAUUGGUUAAUACCCGGUUGUCAUGACGGUACCCAAAGAAUAAGCACCGGCUAACUUCGUGCCAGCCGCCGCGGUAA
rnacentral:rRNA from 1 species